UGGGGAAUAUUGGACAAUGGGGGGAACCCUGAUCCAGCCAUGCCGCGUGUGUGAAGAAGGCCUUAUGGUUGUAAAGCACUUUAAGCGAGGAGGAGGGUACUGGUAUUAAUACUACCAGGUACUGGACGUUACUCGCAGAAUAAGCACCGGCUAACUCUGUGCCAGCAGCCGCGGUAAUACAGAGGGUGCGAGCGUUAAUCGGAAUUACUGGGCGUAAAGCGCGCGUAGGUGGUUCGUUAAGUUGAAUGUGAAAGCCCCGGGCUCAACCUGGGAAAUGCAUCCAAAACUGGCGAGCUAGAGUAGGGCAGAGGGUGGUGGAAUUUCCUGUGUAGCGGUGAAAUGCGUAGAUAUAGGAAGGAACACCAGUGGCGAAGGCGACCACCUGGGCUCAUACUGACACUGAGGUGCGAAAGCGUGGGGAGCAAACAGG
rnacentral:rRNA from 1 species